ACUCCUACGGGAGGCAGCAGUGGGGAAUAUUGCACAAUGGGGAAACCCUGAUGCAGCCAUGCCGCGUGUGUGAAGAAGGCCUUCGGUUGUAAAGCACUUUCAGUAGGGAGGAAGGUAGUGUAGUUAACACCUGCAUUAUUUGACGUUACCUACAGAAGAAGCACCGGCUAACUCCGUGCCAGCAGCCGCGGUAAUACGGAGGGGUGCGAGCGUUAAUCGGAAUUACUGGGCGUAAAGCGCAUGCAGGCGGCCUGUUAAGUCAGAUGUGAAAGCCCGGGGGCUUAACCUCGGAAUUGCAUUUGAAACUGGCAGGCUAGAGUCUUGUAGAGGGGGUAGAAUUUCAGGUGUAGCGGUGAAAUGCGUAGAGAUCUGAAGGAAUACCAGUGGCGAAGGCGGCCCCCUGGACAAAGACUGACGCUCAGAUGCGAAAGCGUGGGGAGCGAAACAGGAUUAGAUACCCUGGUAGACU
rnacentral:rRNA from 1 species